rnacentral:rRNA from 1 species
UUACCCACUCCCAGUACGGGGAGGUAGUGACGAUAAAUAACGAUACGGGACUCAUCCGAGGCCCCGUAAUCGGAAUGAGUACACUUUAAAACUUUUUCCGAGGAUCAAUUGGAGGGUAAGUCUGGUGCCAGCCGCCGCGGUAAUUCCAGCUCCAAUAGCGUAUAUUAAAGUUGUUGCGGUUAAAAGGCUCGUAGUCGAAUCUGUGUCCCGCGCCGCUGGUUCAUCGCUCGCGGUGUCCAACUGGCGUGUCUCGCGGGACGUCCUGCCGGUGGGCACUCGCAUCGUUCGCGGUGCGAGGCCCUGCUCGUUGCCGUCUCGUACGGCUGCGAUCCCAUCGCGGUGCUCUUUAUUGAGUGUCGAGGUGGGCCGGCACAUUUACUUUGAACAAAUUAGAGUGCUUAAAGCAGGCCAGUUUUGCCUGAAUAUUGUGUGCAUGGAAUAAUGGAAUAGGACCUCGGUUCUAUUUUGUUGGUUUCCGGAACCCCGAGGUAAUGAUUAGUAGGAACGGAUGGGGGCAUUCGUAUUGCGACGUUAGAGGUGAAAUUCUUGGAUCGUCGCAAGACGAACAGAAGCGAAAGCAUUUGCCAAAAACGCUUUCAUUGAUCAAGAACGAAAGUUAGAGGCUCGAAGGCGAUCAGAUACCGCCCUAGUUCUAACCAUAAACGAUGCCAGCUAGCGAUCCGCCGACGUUCCUCCGAUGACUCGGCGGGCAGCUUCCGGGAAACCAAAGCUUUUGGGUUCCGGGGGAAGUAUGGUUGCAAAGCUGAAACUUAAAGGAAUUGACGGAAGGGCACCACCAGGAGUGGAGCCUGCGGCUCAAUUUGACUCAACACGGGACACCUCACCAGGCCCGGACACCGGAAGGAUUGACAGAUUGAUAGCUCUUUCUUGAUUCGGUGGGUGGUGGUGCAUGGCC